rnacentral:rRNA from 11 species
UAUAUUUGCCUAAAUAUCCUAAAGGUGCCAGACCCCAUCUGACCCUGAAAGUUAAGCAGAGUUAGCCUUGGCUUCUACUUGGGUGGGGGACUGCCAGUGAAUACCAGAUCCAUAUUUCA